ensembl:lncRNA
AAAAAAAAAAAAUACAGAAAAAAAUCCAAAAAGGUCAAAAAAGUUGACUGAGCAUCAACUGCCAGUUUUUGAAUUUUGGGGCUUUGCAGUUGGCAGUUGGUGGCCGUCAGUUGGUACCUGCAGAUCGCCAUCUCUCACUGCUCUCUCUUUUGGAAAAAAAUCAGUAAGUAUUUGAAACUAUAAUUAAAAUAUACCUUUGUAGUCAUAACUUUAAGUGAUUUUUCAACAGUUUUUACUAUACUCACAGGCUUUCGGAAAUCGAAUCUGUAUUCUUGACUAGCAGUGUUGGUAGCUACUAGCUACAUUAUUUUUUUUUUUCAGGCUCAAUACUUCAUACAUACUUACCAUGGGGAAAAUUAAACAUUGUAACACAGCUGAAGUGCCUCCAAAGAGGAUUCGUUCCCUAACAUGUAUUUUACAUGUCUCAACUCUUUCUGAAUAUGGUAAUUUUACCACAUUCAACACAUGCGGGGGGCAAUCAUAUCUACACAGUAUACAAGAUAUGAGACUCUGUGGAGACGUCAGUUCAUGUUUGUGAACAGAUUCCAUUGACAUUAGAGGACUUGUCUUUGGAUACAAUUGGCUAUCACCAAUACUGCUAUAAAAGCUUUACUGGGAAAAUAGAUCAUUUACAAGUGUCAAAGGCUUCUACAUCUGGUGAAUCAUUAUCAUUGAAGAGGGAUUCUCUGCGCCAUGUCAAAUCUCUGUCAGUUCAAUCUGAAGGAGCUCCAAGAAGGUGUUCCUUCUUGUUUCCCAAUCAGUGCAUUUUCUGUGACAAAGCAAAAUCCGAGUUCAAGGGCAAGACUGAAAAGCUUACAAAGUUUCAGAGUUGGAAACACAAGGAACCAGCCUGGAAAGUUAUUGAACCUAGGGCACAGGAAUGAAAGAAAGAGGCUCUUUAUCGCAAGGUGCAGGGCAAGGACCUUUUUGCAAUGGAAGCUAAGUAUCAUCCAUCAUGCAGAAACAACUUCAACACAGAGUUCCAAACCCAUGAGCGAAGGGAGAGAGUAGAAAAGGCAGCAGACAACAUUGACAGCCUGCAGGCCCAGAAGAUAGCAGCACAUAACAAGUCAUAUUGUGUGGUAAAGGAUUACAUUCUUAGGAAUGUGAUUGAAUGCAAAGAGGUUGUCCAGCUAAGAUCCAUGUGCAACUUGUACAUGAAGAUAUUGGAAAAUCAAGGUUUUCCUAAUCCUGAAUACCGCAGUGAGAAAUUGGCAAGACGGUUACAAGGAGACAAAGACAUCUCUCAUGAACUCACAUUCUCCAAGGUGAAACAACAUGGGUGUAUUAAGUCGAACCUCAUAUACAGCUCUAGCAUUACUGUAGAUGAAGCAGUUGGAUGUGCGUACAAACUUGGAACAGCUGACCAACUUCAAGAAGCAGCACUCACCCUCCAUUCUCACAUUAUUAAGGCAUUCAAAGAGUCAAAGGAGCUACCAUGGCCCCCGACAGCACAGGAGCUAGAUGCUGUGAAGAUGAACGUGCUUCUUCCAGAGCAUCUUGUACAAUUACUGAGCUCAGUGGUGACUGGGACACUUGAUGGCGAAAAGUGUGAGAAGACACAGAGGCUGGUCUAUUCGAUUACACAAGAUGUGUGUCGAGCAGCAACUAACAGCAAGUGGAAACUCCCAAAGCACAUCCUCCAAUGUGCUAUACUUCGACACCUCUAUCGAAACAAACAGCUCACAACCAUCCUUUCAUUACAUAUGACUUCAGUAUGGAACUUGAGACAGCAAUGGCCAAGGCUUUUGAUGACAUUUCCACCCACCUGACCCCUCAAAUCAUCACCGGUGAGGGAAACACUGUUUUUCACAGCGAGUGGGACAACCUGAACAGAAUCACAACCAACGUUCAUGGCUCAAAUUUUGUAAACAGCACCGGGGGAAUCAUGAUUCAAGAGGUGAAGGAGAGCCAUGUGAGCACCAAGAAGAGGACACUUCCUCUCUAUGACAGGACAUCCAAGAUGAGAAGCCUUAAGAUCACGCCUCCUGAAACGGUCCCAUAGCUGGCAUUCAAAAGAGCUGGCCCCAAAUUCCCCAACAAUUCCAACUUUACCCCUCCUGCUGAGAACCAAGAGUCAUAUGAUGCCUCUUUGUCGGUGCUGACAAAGUCCUGGACUCAAAAUCAAAAGUAGACCUGGAACGCCUGCCAUCCCCCAAAGUCUGUCUCAUCCCACAUGUACAGAGAGCCAACUACAGAGUUGCCUGCUAUAAGAGAGCAGACGAGGCAAUAAUCGAGAGCCCCAAACCAUAUGAUCCAGGCAUGGGCUGGGAGAAGACAGGAGAGGAGGAGGUGUUGAAACCUGUUUGGACAAUUGGACCCAUCCUCCCUCCUUCUCUUGUUGAGGUACUGGCUCAGAGAGCAGAGUCAGAAGAGCAGGCAGCUGGUUCCAACAACAACAACUUGUCUGUGGGUGAAGAGGAUGGAGAGUAUGAACAUAAUGAUGAGGAUGAAGUGCUGGUAGAAAUAGACUUAGAAGAUCUCUUCAGUGAUCAUGAGGAAGAUGAACGGAGCAUAAAGAGACUGGACCUGCUAGUUUGGCACCACCACACACUCAUAUUCUCACUGAUUAGGCUUAAUUAAAAAAUAGAAUGAGUUCCCAGUACAAGCUUAAAUAUUUAUGAAAAUGUUUGUUGCUGUUGUCUUUUCAAGUUUUUACCAUAUUAUUACUAUAAAUUUCUGACUAAUUCUUUAAUAAUUGACCAAUGACUAAUAACUUUUU